rnacentral:tRNA from 1 species
GGAAAUGUGGCUUAGUGGAGAGUGCUUGCCUGCCAUGCAUGAAGCCCAGGGUUCGAUUCCUCAGUACCA